AGAAUUCUUUGCCCCAACCACAUCAGGAUACUAGAUUUGUGGCAUUCUUUGAAGAAACCCUCGUUGAACCCUUACUUGUAUCCUGAGCCACUUGAGACUCCAUGCUAUCAAUACAUCUCAUUCCUCCUCCCACUCUGGUGGCCAUUUCUCUCAAACUUCUACCACCUUGACUUUGUCACCAUGAAGGACUGCAAAAUGGAAUUGAGAAAAGGGUCAGGACCUCUUUCUUACUCCUCUCGCGUCCUACAUGGUGACUUACUGUGCCUCCAUUUCCCAGAAUCGUCCAGUUCUCCUAUCUUGCUUUCCUAUUGGCCAGAAGUGCUUUAUUCAUCAACCAAUUAGACAAAAAUAUAUACAAAAGGACUUCCUCCAUCAGGUGAGUGUUACAAUUUAGUCCAUAUCAUUAUGAAUACUAUGCUAAGUAUCAAUAAUGAAUAUACAACACAGUCUACAUCCACAAAACUACAUUUCAUUCUUCCUUCCCAACAUGGCAUAAAGAAUUUCUUUCCAUACUUUGGAUAAACUCCCACUAAGUCAUGUGCCUUCUCUAGUUUCUUCCAACCUACUGCACCCUGUCCCUGUAGAUUUUUCUCAGUGAUCCUGUGGCUACUCUUAUCUUCUGCAUGCCUUUUUUAUAUGUGAAUCAAAUGCCCUCCAGAACCUCAUUACUCAC